AGUGAACGCUGGCGGUAGGCCUAACACAUGCAAGUCGAACGGCAGCACAGUAAGAGCUUGCUCUUACGGGUGGCGAGUGGCGGACGGGUGAGGAAUACAUCGGAAUCUACUUUUUCGUGGGGGAUAACGUAGGGAAACUUACGCUAAUACCGCAUACGACCUACGGGUGAAAGCAGUGGAUCUUCGGACCUUGCGCGAUUGAAUGAGCCGAUGUCGGAUUGGCUAGUUGGCGGGUUAAAGGCCCACCAAGGCGACGAUCCGUAGCUGGACUGAGAGGAUGAUCGGCCACAUUGGAGCUGAGACACGGACAAGACUACUACGGGAGGCAGCAGUGGGGAAUAUUGGGCAGUGGGGGCAAGCCUGAUCCAGCCAUCCCGCGUGGGUGAAGAAGGCGUCGGGGUUGUAAAGCCGUUUUGUUGGGAAAAAAAAGCAGCAGGUUAAUACCCAGCUGUUCUGACGGUACCCAAAAAAUAAGCACCGGCUAACUUCGUG
rnacentral:rRNA from 1 species